rnacentral:miRNA from 1 species
GUUGCAGGCUGGUGUCUGACAGGCACUCCAGCUGCAGCGCUUCUGGCUGGCCGGGCACUGCAGGCACAGACAAGCAGCAG